rnacentral:rRNA from 1 species
CGGAACACGUACACAACCUUCCGAUAAGUGGGGAAUAGCCCAGAGAAAUUUGGAUUAAUACCCCGUAACAUAUAGAGUAGGCAGGGUCUUCUUUAUAUUAUAGCUUCGGCGCUUAUUGAUGGGUGUGCGUCUGAUUAGGUAGUUGGCGGGGUAACGGCCCACCAAGCCUACGAUCAGUAGCUGAUGUGAGAGCAUGAUCAGCCACACGGGCACUGAGACACGGGCCCG